rnacentral:rRNA from 1 species
GAUGAACGCUAGCGGCAGGCCUAACACAUGCAAGUCGAGGGGUAGAGGAAGCUUGCUUCCUUGAGACCGGCGCACGGGCGCGUAACGCGUAUGCAAUCUACCUUUUACAGAGGGAUAGCCCAGAGAAAUUUGGAUUAAUACCUCAUAGUAUCUUUGCCUGGCAUCGGGUGAUUAUUAAAGUUCCAACGGUAAAAGAUGAGCAUGCGUCCUAUUAGCUAGAUGGUAAGGUAACGGCUUACCAUGGCAACGAUAGGUAGGGGUCCUGAGAGGGAGAUCCCCCACACUGGUACUGAGACACGGACCAGACUCCUACGGGAGGCAGCAGUGAGGAAUAUUGGACAAUGGGCGCAAGCCUGAUCCAGCCAUGCCGCGUGCAGGAAGACGGUCCUAUGGAUUGUAAACUGCUUUUGUACGGGAAGAAACACUCCUACGUGUAGGAGCUUGACGGUACCGUAAGAAUAAGGAUCGGCUAACUCCGUGCCAGCAGCCGCGGUAAAAC